UGAGGAAUCUUGCGCAAUGGGGGAAACCCUGACGCAGCAACGCCGCGUGAGCGAAGAAGGCCUUCGGGUCGUAAAGCUCUGUCUAGUGGGAAAAAAGUCCUGGUGUAAAUAGCUCCAGGAUCUGAUGGUACCGCUGGAGGAAGCACCGGCUAACUCCGUGCCAGCAGCCGCGGUAAUACGGAGGGUGCAAGCGUUGUUCGGAAUUAUUGGGCGUAAAGGGCGUGUAGGCGGUUUGGUAAGUCAGAUGUGAAAGCCCUGGGCUUAACCCAGGAAGUGCAUUUGAAACUACCAGACUUGAGUAUGGGAGAGGAGAGUGGAAUUCCCAGUGUAGAGGUGAAAUUCGUAGAUAUUGGGAGGAACAUCCGUGGCGAAGGCGACUCUCUGGACCAAUACUGACGCUGAGACGCGAAAGCGUGGGGAGCAAACAGG
rnacentral:rRNA from 1 species